rnacentral:rRNA from 1 species
AUUGAACGCUGGCGGCAGGCUUAACACAUGCAAGUCGAACGAGUGGCGGACGGGUGAGUAAUGCUUGAGAAUCUGGCUUAUGGAGGGGGAUAACGACGGGAAACUGUCGCUAAUACCGCUUACCAUCGGAUGAGCCCAAGUGGGAUUAGCUAGUUGGUGGGGUAACGGCCUACCAAGCCGACGAUCCCUAGCUGGCCUGAGAGGAUGACCGGCCACACUGGGACUGAGACAGGGCCCGGACUCCUACGGGAGGCAGAAGUGGGGAAUAUUGCGAAAUGGGCGCAAGCCUGACGCAGCAACGCCGCGUGAAUGAAGAAGGCCUUCGGGUUGUAAAGUGCUUUCAGUGAGGAGGCGUUACUCGCAGAAGAAGCACCGGCUAACUCCGUGCCAGCAGCCGCGGUAAUUC